CAGUAGCCACGGUAAUACGAAGGGUGCAAGCGUUAAUCGGAAUUACUGGGCGUAAAGCGUGCGUAGGCGGUGAGUUAAGUCUGUUGUGAAAUCCCCGGGCUCAACCUGGGAAUGGCAAUGGAUACUGGCGAGCUAGAGUGUGUCAGAGGAUGGUGGAAUUCCCGGUGUAGCGGUGAAAUGCGUAGAGAUCGGGAGGAACAUCAGUGGCGAAGGCGGCCAUCUGGGACAACACUGACGUUGAGGCACGAAAGCGUGUGGAGCAAACAGGAUUAGAUACCCCGGUAGUCCCUGUCUCUUAUAC
rnacentral:rRNA from 1 species